CAAUUGAUAGCAACAAUCAUGUAAAUUGCGAAGGCUUAAAAUCAACAAAGCGGAAUAUCUCCUCCGACUAGUUUGGUAACAGAGAAAGGAUCUUCCCUGUAAGAUUUGUCCUCCGACUAGUUGUCCAAUUCAAAUGGCUCGUAUUCUUGUAGUGAUUCAAAUUCAACAAAAAAGGUAAGGUUCUCUCCAUCUUUAGUUUCUUUUUAAAUGGUUAGUCCUACUUGCUCUCCAAUUCAACAGACAUUCUACCAUGCGCUGGGAGCUUGAUGGAUUUUAUCUAAAGAAGUUGAAAGUAGCUUAUGUGAAUAUUGAUGGACUUGUAACAAAGUAUUCCUUUAAUGUGAGGCAAAACAUAUUUGUAUAGUUGCUUAGUGAAUUCAGAUAUGGAG